UACSAAAACCUUUUUGUCAGGGUGCUUCUCUAUCCGUUUUAGGAUAAACUUAUCUACAGAAGUGUCUGUUACUGUUUUGGAAGAGUAAUACUGUUCGCUUAUCCAUAUUUCCCCGUUCUGGGGAAGCCUCAUGGGUAAAUUAGAAGGACAACCUUUGUUUUUAAAGGUAUACCUUCGCUUUUUAGAACAGCGAGGAUCUUAUGAGUUGAGCUUUUGUUACUUGAGACUUUAUCUCGGGCUCCAUACAAUAUGUUCGUAGUAAAGAUCCUCACAAUU
rnacentral:snoRNA from 1 species